GGUUUCUUGGCGCAGUUGGUUAGCGCGUCUCCUUAACAUCUUGUUCAGAUCGUUAGGGCUUACGGAGGAGGUCGCCGGUUCGAACCCGGCAGAAAUCA
rnacentral:tRNA from 1 species